rnacentral:rRNA from 1 species
CCUGGCUCAGGAUGAACGCUAGCGACAGGCCUAACACAUGCAAGUCGAGGGGUAACGGAAGUAGCUUGCUACUAGACGACGACCGGCGCACGGGUGAGUAACGCGUAUGUAACCUACCUCUAACAGGGGAAUAGCCCUAAGAAAUUGGGAUUAAUGCCCCAUAAUAUUAUGAGUCUGCAUGGAUUUAUAAUUAAAGUUCCGGCGGUUAGAGAUGGACAUGCGUAGUAUUAGCUAGUUGGUGAGGUAACGGCUCACCAAGGCUGCGAUACUUAGGGGUUCUGAGAGGAUUGUCCCCCACACUGGUACUGAGACACGGACCAGACUCCUACGGGAGGCAGCAGUGAGGAAUAUUGGUCAAUGGACGCAAGUCUGAACCAGCCAUGUCGCGUGCAGGAUGACUGCCCUAUGGGUUGUAAACUGCUUUUAUAUAGGAAGAAACCCUGGUACAUGUACUGGGCUGACGGUACUAUAUGAAUAAGGAUCGGCUAACUCCGUGCCAGCAGCCGCGGUAAUACGGAGGAUUCGAGCGUUAUCCGGAUUUAUUGGGUUUAAAGGGUGCGUAGGCGGUCUUUUAAGUCAGUGGUGAAAUCUUACAGCUCAACUGUGAAACUGCCAUUGAAACUGAAGGACUUGAAUACAAACGAGGUAGGCGGAAUAUAAUAUGUAGCGGUGAAAUGCUUAGAUAUAUUAUAGAACACCGAUUGCGAAGGCAGCUUACUAGAUUGUUAUUGACGCUGAUGCACGAAAGCGUGGGGGGCGAACAGGAUUAGAUACCCUGGUAGUCCACGCCGUAAACGAUGAUUACUCGUUGCUUGCGAUAUACAGUGAGUGACUGAGCGAAAGCAUUAAGUAAUCCACCUGGGGAGUACGUCGGCAACGAUGAAACUCAAAGGAAUUGACGGGGGCCCGCACAAGCGGAGGAACAUGUGGUUUAAUUCGAUGAUACGCGAGGAACCUUACCUGGGCUUAAAUGCACUUUGACAGAACUGGAAACGGUUUUUUCUUCGGACAGAGUACAAGGUGCUGCAUGGUUGUCGUCAGCUCGUGCCGUGAGGUGUCGGGUUAAGUCCCAUAACGAGCGCAACCCUUAUCGUUAGUUGCUAUCAGGUAAUGCUGAGGACUCUAGCGAGACUGCCACCGUAAGGUGAGAGGAAGGUGAGGAUGACGUCAAAUCAGCACGGCCCUUACGCCCAGGGCUACACACGUGUUACAAUGGUAUGGACAAAGGGCAGCUACACUGUGAAGUGAUGCUAAUCUCAAAACCAUAUCUCAGUUCGGAUCGGAGUCUGCAACUCGACUCCGUGAAGUUGGAUUCGCUAGUAAUCGCAUAUCAGCAACGAUGCGGUGAAUACGUUCCCGGGCCUUGUACACACCGCCCGUCAAGCCAUGGAAGCUGGGGGUACCUAAAGUCCGUAACCGAGAGGAUCGGCCUAGGGUAAAACUAGUAACUGGGGCUAAGUCGUAACA